AAGAUCCGUAGUCAAAAGGGAAACAGCCCAGACCACCAGCUAAGGUCCCAAAGUAAUCGUUAAGUGGAAAAGGAUGUGGCGUUGCACAGACAACCAGGAUGUUGGCUUAGAAGCAGCCAUCAUUUAAAGAGUGCGUAAUAGCUCACUGGUCGAGUGACGCUGCGCCGAAAAUGUAUCGGGGCUAAACGAUUCACCGAAGCUGUGGAUUGACAUCUACGAUGUCAGUGGUAGGAGAGCGUUCUAAGUGCGUUGAAGUCAGACCGGAAGGACUGGUGGAGCGCUUAGAAGUGAGAAUGCCGGUAUGAGUAGCGAAAGAUGGGUGAGAAUCCCAUCCACCGAAUGCCUAAGGUUUCCUGAGGAAGGCUCGUCCGCUCAGGGUUAGUCGGGACCUAAGCCGAGGCCGAUAGGCGUAGGCGAUGGACAACAGGUUGAUAUUCCUGUACCACCUCCUCACCAUUUGAGUAAUGGGGGGACGCAGUAGGAUAGGGUAAGCGCGCCGUUGGUUAUGCGCGUCUAAGCAGUAAGGUGUGAGUGUAGGCAAAUCCGCACUCUUUAACGUUGAGCUGUGAUAGCGAAGCUCUUCGAGCGAAGUUCCUGAUUUCACACUGCCAAGAAAAGCCUCUAUCGAGGUGAGAGGUGCCCGUACCGCAAACCGACACAGGUAGUCGAGGAGAGAAUCCUAAGGUGUGCGAGAGAACUCUCGUUAAGGAACUCGGCAAAAUGACCCCGUAACUUCGGGAGAAGGGGUGCUCUUGAGCGUGCAAGCGCAUGAGAGCCGCAGUGAAUAGGCCCAGGCGACUGUUUAGCAAAAACACAGGUCUCUGCAAAACCGUAAGGUGACGUAUAGGGGCUGACGCCUGCCCGGUGCUGGAAGGUUAAGAGGAGUGGUUAGCGCAAGCGAAGCUGCGAAUUGAAGCCCCAGUAAACGGCGGCCGUAACUAUAACGGUCCUAAGGUAGCGAAAUUCCUUGUCGGGUAAGUUCCGACCCGCACGAAAGGCGUAACGAUCUGGGCACUGUCUCAACGAGAGACUCGGUGAAAUUAUAGUACCUGUGAAGAUGCAGGUUACCCGCGACAGGACGGAAAGACCCCGUGGAGCUUUACUGUAGCCUGAUAUUGAAUUUUGGUACAACUUGUACAGGAUAGGUAGGAGCCAGAGAUCUCGGAGCGCCAGCUUCGAAGGAGGCGUCGGUGGGAUACUACCCUGGUUGUAUUGAAAUUCUAACCCAUGCCCCUUAGCGGGGCAGGAGACAGUGUCAGGCGGACAGUUUGACUGGGGCGGUCGCCUCCUAAAAGGUAACGGAGGCGCCCAAAGGUUCCCUCAGAAUGGUUGGAAAUCAUUCGUAGAGUG
rnacentral:rRNA from 1 species